UCCUCAUUAGUAGAAUGGUUAGUGUUCCCACCUGCCACAUGGGAGACAGGGGUUCGAUUCCCCAACUGGGAA
rnacentral:tRNA from 1 species